rnacentral:rRNA from 1 species
GACGAACGCUGGCGGCGUGCUUAACACAUGCAAGUCGAACGAAGAGCGACGGAAGCUUGCUUCUAUCAAUCUUAGUGGCGCACGGGUGAGUAACGCGUAAUCAACCUGCCCUUCAGAGGGGGACAACAGUUGGAAACGACUGCUAAUACCGCAUACGAUCUAAUCUCGGCAUCGAGGAUGGAUGAAAGGUGGCCUCUACAUGUAAGCUAUCACUGAAGGAGGGGAUUGCGUCUGAUUAGCUAGUUGGAGGGGUAACGGCCCACCAAGGCGAUGAUCAGUAGCCGGUCUGAGAGGAUGAACGGCCACAUUGGGACUGGGACACGGCCCAGACUCCUACGGGAGGCAGCAGGGGGGAAUCUUCCGCAAUGGACGAAAGUCUGACGGAGCAACGCCGCGGGAGUGAUGACGGCCGUCGGGUUGUAAAGCUCUGUUAAUCGGGACGAAAGGCCUUCUUGCGAAUAGUGAGAAGGAUUGACGGUACCGGAAUAGAAAGCCACGGCUAACUACGUG